rnacentral:rRNA from 1 species
UACGUAGGGGGCAAGCGUUGUCCGGAAUCAUUGGGCGUAAAGAGCGUGUAGGCGGCCAGGUAGGUCUGCUGUGAAAACUCGAGGCUCAACCUCGAGACGUCGGCGGAAACCAUCUGGCUAGAGUCCGGAAGAGGAGAGUGGAAUUCCUGGUGUAGCGGUGAAAUGCGCAGAUAUCAGGAAGAACACGCGUGGCGAAGGCGGCUCUCUGGGACGGUACUGACGCUGAGACGCGAAAGCGUGGGGAGCGAACAGG